rnacentral:rRNA from 1 species
UACGGAGGGGGCUAGCGUUGUUCGGAAUUACUGGGCGUAAAGCGCGCGUAGGCGGCUUACCAAGUUGGGGGUGAAAUCCCGGGGCUCAACCCCGGAACUGCACCCGAUACUGCCCGGCUGGAGUCCCGGAGAGGAUAGCGGAAUUUCCGGUGUAGAGGUGAAAUUCGUAGAUAUCCGAAGGAACACCAGUGGCGAAGGCGGCCAUCUGGACGGUGACUGACGCUGAGGCGCGAAAGCGUGGGGAGCAAACAGG